GACGUAGGGCGCGAGCGUUGUCCGGAUUUAUUGGGCGUAAAGAGCUCGUAGGCGGCUUGUCGCGUCGUCCGUGAAAACCUGCGGCUCAACUGCAGGCUGGCGGUCGAUACGGGCGAGGCUGGAGUUCGGUAGGGGAGACUGGAAUUCCAGGUGUAGCGGUGAAAUGCGUAGAUAUCUGGAGGAACACCGGUGGCGAAGGCGGCAUCCUGGACCGAGAUUGACGCUGAGGCGCGAAAGCCAGGGGAGCAAACGGG
rnacentral:rRNA from 1 species